rnacentral:rRNA from 1 species
CCUACGGGAGGCAGCAGUGAGGAAUAUUGGUCAAUGGACGCGAGCCUGAACCAGCCAAGUAGCGUGAAGGAUGACUGCCCUACGGGUUGUAAACUUCUUUUAUAAAGGAAUAAAGUGAUGCACGUGUGCGUUUUUGUAUGUACCUUAUGAAUAAGGAUCGGCUAACUCCGUGCCAGCAGCCGCGGUAAUACGGAGGAUCCGAGCGUUAUCCGGAUUUAUUGGGUUUAAAGGGAGCGUAGGUGGGUUGUUAAGUCAGUUGUGAAAGUUUGCGGCUCAACCGUAAAAUUGCAGUUGAUACUGGCAGUCUUGAGUACAGUUGAGGUAGGCGGAAUUCGUGGUGUAGCGGUGAAAUGCUUAGAUAUCACGAAGAACUCCGAUUGCGAAGGCAGCUUACUAGACUGCCACUGACAUUGAUGCUCGAAAGUGUGGGUAUCAAACAGGAUUAGAUACCCGAGUAGUC